UACGAAGGGGGCUAGCGUUGCUCGGAAUCACUGGGCGUAAAGCGCACGUAGGCGGCCCGAUAAGUCGGAUGUGAAAUCCCUCGGCUCAACCGAGGACGUGCAUUCGAAACUGUCGGGCUCGAGUAUGGAAGAGGGUCGCGGAAUUCCCGGUGUAGAGGUGAAAUUCGUAGAUAUCGGGAGGAACACCAGUGGCGAAGGCGGCGACCUGGGCCAAUCUGACGCUGAGGUGCGAAAGCGUGGGGAGCAAACAGG
rnacentral:rRNA from 1 species